ACUACGGGUGGCAGCAGUGGGGGAUAUUGCACAAUGGGGGGAACCCUGAUGCAGCGACGCCGCGUGGGUGAAGGAGUGCUUCGGCAUGUAAAGCCCUAUCGGCAGGGAAGAAGCAAGACGGUACCUGACUAAGAAGCCCCGGCUAACUACGUGCCAGCAGCCGCGGUAAUACGUAGGGGGCGAGCGUUAUCCGGAUUCACUGGGUGUAAAGGGAGCGUAGACGGCCAUGCAAGCCAGGGGUGAAAGCCCGGGGCCCAACCCCGGGACUGCCCUUGGAACUGCAUGGCUGGAGUGCGGGAGGGGCAUGCGGAAUUCCUGGUGUAGCGGUGGAAUGCGUAGAUAUCAGGAGGAACACCGGCGGCGAAGGCGGCCUGCUGGACCGCGACUGACGUUGAGGCUCGAAAGCGUGGGGAGCGAACAGGAUGAGAUACCCGUGUAGUC
rnacentral:rRNA from 1 species